GACGAACGCUGGCGGCGUGCUUAACACAUGCAAGUCGAACGGAAAGGCCCUGCUUGUUUGGGGUUCUCGAGUGGCGAACGGGUGCGUAACACGUGAGUAACCUGCCCUUGACUUUGGUAUAGCUUCAGGAAACUGGAGCUAAUACCGGAUAGGAUCUCCUGCUGCAGGGUGGGGGGUGGAAAUUUUCGGCGGUUGGGGAUGGACGCGCGGGUGAUGAGCUAGUUGGUCGGCGAGUUGCUGCCCAACGGUUUGACUGGUAGCCGGCCUGGGAGGGUGAACGGGCACAUGGGGCCUGAGGUACGGCGCAGACUCCAAUGGGGGACAGCGGUGGGGAAUAUUGCCCAGUGGGCGGGCGUGUGAGGAAGAGACGCCGGGUGCGGGAUGACGGCCUGCGGGUUGUGAAACGCUUCAGCUUGUGACGACGCUUGAGUGACGGUAAUGGGUAAAGAAGCACCGGCUAACUACGUG
rnacentral:rRNA from 1 species